rnacentral:rRNA from 1 species
GAUGAACGCUGGCGGCGUGCCUAAUACAUGCAAGUCGAGCGAACGGACGAGAAGCUUGCUUCUCUGAUGUUAGCGGCGGACGGGUGAGUAACACGUGGAUAACCUACCUAUAAGACUGGGAUAACUUCGGGAAACCGGAGCUAAUACCGGAUGAUAUUUUGAACCGCAUGGUUCAAAAGUGAAAGACGGUCUUGCUGUCACUUAUAGAUGGAUCCGCGCUGCAUUAGCUAGUUGGUAAGGUAACGGCUUACCAAGGCAACGAUGCAUAGCCGACCUGACAGGGUGAUCGGCCACACUGGAACUGAGACACGGUCCAGACUCCUACGGGAGGCAGCAGUAGGGAAUCUUCCGCAAUGGGCGAAAGCCUGACGGAGCAACGCCGCGUGAGUGAUGAAGGUCUUCGGAUCGUAAAACUCGGUUAUUAGGGAAGAACAUAUGUGUAAGUAACUGUGCACAUCUUGACGGUACCUAAUCAGAAAGCCACGGCUAACUACGUG